GAUGAACGCUGGCGGCGUGCCUAAUACAUGCAAGUCGAGCGAACAGAUGCGGAGCUUGCUCCUCUGACGUGAGCGGCGGACGGGUGAGUAACGCGUGUAUACCCUACCUGUCAGACGGGUAUAACUUCGGAACACCGGCUCUAAUCCCGUAGAAUCUCUUGAUCCGCGUUGUUCAUUGGUAAGAUACGGCUUUGCUGGCUCUUAUCGCGGCAUCCGGGCCGUAUUGUCGGGUUGGUGGGGUAACGGCUUACCAAGGCAACGAUGCGUAGCAGACCUGUGAGGCGGGUCGGCGGCAUUGGAAGUUAGACGCGGUCAAGACUCCUACGGGAGGCCGCAGUCGGGAAUCUGCCGCAAUGGGCGAAAGCAUGACGGAGCAAGGGCGCGUGAGUGAUGAAGGUCUUGGGAUCGUAAAACGCUGUUAUUAGGGAAGAACAAAUGUGUAAGUAACCAUGGACGUAUUGACGGUAACUAAUCAGAAAGCAACGGCUAACUACGUG
rnacentral:rRNA from 1 species